UACGAAGGGGGCUAGCGUUGCUCGGAAUCACUGGGCGUAAAGCGCACGUAGGCGGAUUGCUAAGUCAGGGGUGAAAUCCUGGAGCUCAACUCCAGAACUGCCUUUGAUACUGGCGACCUUGAGUCCGGGAGAGGUGAGUGGAACUGCGAGUGUAGAGGUGAAAUUCGUAGAUAUUCGCAAGAACACCAGUGGCGAAGGCGGCUCACUGGCCGUGUACGACGCUGAGGUGCGAAAGCGUGGGAGCAAACAGGG
rnacentral:rRNA from 1 species